rnacentral:rRNA from 1 species
UCCUACGGGAGGCAGCAGUGAGGAAUUUUGCGCAAUGGGCGAAAGCCUGACGCAGCAACGCCGCGUGAGUGAUGAAGGCCUUCGGGUCGUAAAGCUCUGUCAAGUGGGAAGAACCUAUAUAAUGCCAAUACCAUUAUAUAUUGACGGUACCACUGAAGGAAGCACCGGCUAACUCCGUGCCAGCAGCCGCGGUAAUACGGGGGGUGCAAGCGUUAUUCGGAAUCAUUGGGCGUAAAGAGCACGUAGGCGGCCUGGUAAGUCAGAUGUGAAAGCCCGGGGCUUAACCCCGGAAGUGCAUUUGAUACUGUCAGGCUUGAGUAUGGGAGAGGGAAGUGGAAUUCCUGGUGUAGAGGUGAAAUUCGUAGAUAUCAGGAGGAACACCGGUGGCGAAGGCGACUUCCUGGACCAAUACUGACGCUGAGGUGCGAAGGCGUGGGUAGCAAACAGGAUUAGAUACCCGGGUAGUC